CCUCCGGGUAAAACAAAAGAGAAAAUCCCAAUAUUAGUCAUGAUGAAAUGGAAAGCUCUUAAGCCAAGGUCCGAAACACCAGACAAUUAGCAGCUCUUCUGAUUCAGGAAGAUACAAAGAAUUAGAACAGGCCAAGUAUCUGUUAACCAGAAGAUUCCUGGAACUCAUACCUUAGCCUGGACUCCUCAUGAAUUGGGCUGGACCACAUGUGAACUCUUUCAUCCCUCUGGACUUAAAACAGACCCAGACUAAAUGCACGACCCUUCCACUCUUGUUCCUAGUCUCUUUACCCUGUGUAAUCCUGGUCCUUGAAAUCUUACCACUUUGUAGUGAGAAGAGGCAAGCAAAGAUAAGACAGUGGAAAACAGAGAAAAAUAUUUUCCCUAAGGCUUGGGAUUGCUUAAGAUAUCACUCCUAGGCCUUCCUAAGAAGGAAGGUGGGGAAAUAGACCAGGGACUUGGAAGAAUACACCAGAGAGCAGUUUGAGAGAAAACAGCAAGCCAAAUAAGAAAAGAAUUCUUUAAAUUCAUCGCAGAAUGAAGAAUUUCUUGGAAUUCUCAAAUCUACCACAUCUCCUAUUUCAAUGGCCCAGUUAUACCAGAGGCCUGAUUUAUAUCAUCUUCCCCACCGUAAGGGGUGAUCUUGGGCUCCCCUUUAAGGCUAGAACAUGCUGCUAACAGUACUUAUGACCUAUAUUUAACUGUGUUGUCUCAAGAGUAUCAUAACAGUAUUGCCUGGCCGCUAAAUAGGUUUAACUCCAGAAAUAAACUAAAAACUAAGACUUUACUGGAAUAUCCCAGUGAGUCUCAAAGAAGUAUUACAUUAUGUAACACUCAUAAAAAUGUCCUAAAAUCCACUUCACCCGUUUUGGUCCCCCAAGGAUCCAGCUGUUAAUGCAACUGCUUUCCCAGAACUUAUCUUCUCUCUUCUACCCAGAUUUUCUCUCAAAAGCUCCAGUUCGAGUUGGCUUAUAGUUAGUUCUACUACUCCUUUCACUGUCUGGAUCUCCUAAUUCACAAAAGUCUCCGUGACCUUUCUAAAGUAAGUGAAGUUUCUUUAGCAGAGUUCAACACAGCACUAAAAAAGGAGCAGAGAAAUGCAGCAACUAUCUUAGAAUGCAGGAUAAGGAGAAAGAGUAUAAGGUUAUGUUCACCCUGGCACAUAAAUCUGGAAACUUUAAUCUCAUUAAAACUAAAGAAAUGCAAAAGCAAAGAACAAGAUCCCUUUUAUGCCCAUUACAUUAACAACAACAGAAAGCUUCUUAUGUGAACACCAGUAAAAAGCAAGGAUGUGGUGAAACGGGUAUCCUCGUAUGUUGAACGUACCACAGCAAUUGGCAAAAAGCCUAUGAAAAACAAUUAUGCAGUGUAUAUAGAGAAUAAUACAAAUAUCCAUGCCAAUUAGCCCUCCUAGGAAUCCAUUCUAAUGGAAUAUUUUAAUAUGAAAAACAUUUCAUGCAUUUUUAUCAAGGGCUUCAUCACAAAUAAAACUGGAAACAACUUAAAUAUACGAUAGAAGUCUUGGACUACACUGAUACAUCCACUAGAAUAAGUUUAUAUUUAUUUGCCUGUCAUGAUUUGGAUUUUUAGUGUAUAAUUGUGUAAAAACUUGGAUGCAUGGGAAAAUGUACCAGAAUGGAUUGUACCAAAACAUUUCAGGGUAGGAGGAUUAUGGGUGAUAUUUUUUGUUCUGUUUUAUAAAUCUUCUGCUGUAAUUAUAGUAAUUUUAUGAAACAGAUAUUAAGUUAAAAAGAAAAAAAAAACACAUACUUUGCUGAGUGCACAAGAUAAAAUGAGGUUGGGUGAGGGAAACCAAUGGCUUUUUAUAUUAGAAAAACAUUAGACUGUGUGCUGAAAAAAUCGGGAUGACUUGUCACUGGCUGAGAGUUCCUGUUGAUCAUGCCGUGUGCCAGGCUGAUGUUGUCCUGGUUUUUGUCUUCCCUUCAGGCACAGGUGAUGCUCUCAUAGUAAGUUUUACGAAGGGUUUGAUGAGGAGCUCUAGCACCUUUAUAGUAAGUAUUCACUUACAGUGAAUGAAACAUAAAAGGAGAGAUCGAGGUCUCUAACACUACAGCUAGGUGGAAAGUAAGUCGAAAUUCAGGCCAUCGUGUGGCAAGACUGGUAUCCUCAACGGCAUAUGUAGAGUGAGUGUUUUGUUUUUGUUUUAAGUUUUUAUUUAUUUAUUUAAUGAGUGAGAGAGAGAGAGAGAGCGAGAGGGAGAAACACCAUGAGAGGGGAGAGGGUCAGAGGGAGAAGCAGGCUCCCUGCUGAGCAGGGAGCCCGAUGCGGGACUCGAUCCCAGGACUCUGGGAUCAUGACCUGAGCCGAGGGCAGACGCUUAAUUACUGACCCACCCAGGCGCCCUAGAGUGAGUGAUCUUUAUUGAAGGUUCUAUACUGGCUUUAAACUGUUACAAAUGAAUAAUCAUCCUUCCUGUUCUAUCGGAACUGGAGAGCACAACUUCCUUUUUGGUUUAUAACCCAGGAAAUUUCUUCAGGAUGGUAUCACGCCCACUUGCACAAACUGGAAGCCACAAAGACCAAUUUCCUGAGCCCAUUUCAGAGGAGUGGUUUGGCAGUAGACUCUGUUGCAGACAGAGUCUGUUGUGACACACACAAGGCAGGAGCGCAGGGGUCUGGAGCCCCGGCCGAGCCAGGAGCUCCGGGGUUGUCCUCACCUGUUUGUUGAAAGGCUGCUGUGGACUACACGUUACAGACUGCUCUGCUCACCCCUUAUCUAUGACCCUGUGGUCGUAAGACUCACGCGCUAGAUUAAACCAGGAGCAGAGGGAAACUCUCUGAUCUCAGAAGCUAAGCAGGGUCGGGCCUGGUUAGUACUUGGAUGGGAGGGAAACUCUUAAAGGUAAGCCUGAGUGAGGUGUUUCUUAAAAGUAGAAUUUAUAGCUACAUUUAAAAAACUCACUGGCAACCUCUAGUGGGACUAGAUAUUUAGAGUUUAAAACCUUUGGGUCAUAUUUUCCAUGCAUUCAAUGACCCUGUUUUACUGCCUAGGUAUUUUCUUUGGCGUGAUCUUCUUCCUUUCAUCCAUCAUGGUUUCUUGUUGGAUAAUUGUAAAGCACAAAAAAGGCAAUAUCACAGAUGAGAAACCUAAAGAGAUGAUCCACUUACAUCCUCUAGAAGACAGCAGUGUAAGGCCUCAAACUCUGCAAACAGAUCGGGAAAACAGCAGGUACCUAACGUAAAUACUGAAUUCAUAGUGUCUUCAAGAACUCAAAUCCUGCAAAUGAGAACAGGAUCUGCGUAUAUUCCCGCUCUAGUUGGAUCGCUGGUACCAGGGGAGUUCGAAGGGACUUCAGGAAGUGGAAAUGCCUCGGUUGUUGUCUUGUUGGAUUCUGGUUGUUUCCAGUGAGUUGGGUGAGGACUGUCCGCGCUAAGCACAGGCCCUGUUUUCACAAAGCGUUCCCGUAUUUUUGUGCAGGGCUGCUAUGAACCUUUGAGAAGGAAGCCUUUGUUUUUCUUGUGGAACCCAAGCACUUGCCACGUGGGCGUGCCUCUGGGUCCCCCACUUCCCUUCGAUGCACGGGGUCACCUCAGGACCCCGUGGAGACUCUGGCUUUCCUGCCUCCCCACUCCCACUGAAUUCCCUGCCUCCCCUGGCCUCCUAGGACUGCUCUCCCCGCCCCCCACCCCCGGAGGCUUGUCACCACACCUCAUGCCUGCAUUCCAGGAAGUCAAAGUACCAGCUUACUAGCAGAGCUGCCGUGUAGUAAACGUUUAGCUGUUUGCUAAAGGAUUGGGGUGAAAAGGGAGACGGUGCUACAACCCAAAGUGGCACACAACGUGGAACUGAAUGGUAGAAAUCCCGGGACCGUAAAGUGACGGUUUUUGUAACUAAGGUCUGACUGGAACACAGCCUCCCUCACUGGUAGCCUACUUAUGGCUACAGCAGCUGAAUGGAGUAGAAGCCACAGAGGGCGAGACGGGGUGGUUGUCUUUACAAGAGUUAAUAUAAAAACUACUUCACAAGAGGGCUUAAAAAAGCAUUUAAUUCCUCCUCAUUCCUGCCAAGUGACCCACCGAAACACUUUACCACCUUUCUGCCAAUUUAAGGUGCAUUCGUCAGGCUCAGACUCCACUUACCCAAGGAGUUCUGCCCAAAGUGCUCCCACACUUGCUGUCUAUAACAGUUUUAAAAUAAACUAUUUCCUUUUAAGAAUAAGAAGUGCUCAUUACUGAAAAUGUAGAAAAUAAAGAAAAAUAUAGAGAACAUAAAAAUUACCUGAACUAGCCUCCACUCAGUAGUUAGUAUUCUUAAGCUUCUUUGCAUAUUGUUUUACAUUUGCAGGGUUAUACACGGAGAUUGAACUGACUGUAUAAUAUUGAAUUCUGAUUUUGUUUUCACCAAAUGACAACCAUUUCCUUUAUCAAAGAACUUAUAUCCUAAAGUAUUCAAUAUAAUAUUUGUUUUUUGCCUGUUAACACUGUUAUAUUCACUUGCUCAUUACUACAUUCUUCAAACAUGGAUUAGUCACAUUUUUUUUUUUAAAUUUCAGAGAGAGAGCGCGUGAGUGCACGAGUGGGGGUAGGGGCAGAGGGAGAGGGAGAAGCAGGCUCCCCUCUGAGUAGGGAGCUGGACACAGGGCUCGAUCCCAGGACUCUGGGAUCAUGACCUGAGCUGAAGUCAGAUGCUUAACCAACUGAGCCACCCAGGCACCCCUGGAUUAGUCACUUAUAACAUGUACCAUACUUUGAGCUUAUAUCUUCUUUCUCAUGCUAACUUAUAAGAACCUCCUUUUUAAAUUUCCUUAAAUUUCUGAGUAGAGACUUUAUCAAAUCAGAAGUAUAAAUAUAUGAGAGUAAAUUUAUCAAAAUUUCCUUUUAACUAACUUUUUGGAAGUGUUCUUUUACAUCAAGGGACAUGUCAAAUUGUGUACAUUGACUGUUGAUCAACUUUUAAUAAAAUGGUAGGAAGUCCUUAAUGAAUUUGUGUCUAAUCUCCUUUUUAAGACUGGAAUUUUGGCCAUAGAGUUCUCCAGGAGCAAGGUUGAUCCUCUGGCAAGAUGUGGUAGAUAAAGAAUGAGUCAGAUCUGCACCUUGUGCGCCCAAGCAAGGUACAAGGACCAAGAGGGUGAUACAGGUAAAGAGGCAGAUUCCAAAGACACAGCUGCGUGCUAAAGGACAUGAGAAUGUUCAAAGAUGGCGCAGGUAACAAAUGAUGUUGGGAAGUCUUGAGAGGUGGAAAGAGAACAAUGAUGAGGGAUCAGGUGGCAGUAAUAAUAGGGGGUGUCAGAUGAGCUGCUGGGCCUCCCCAGGGAUCUGUCCACUGGCGGGAGGACAGUCUUCCUGGCCUUAAGGAAGAGGAGAGCUUUCAGCAUGGCCAGGGAAGCAUUUGGACAUCUUGGACUAUACAAUAUCUUCUUUCAGUCAUGACGGUGGUAUGGGGAAGACAUGCUCUCUGAGGCAGACCCUCCUCCAAACUACCAGUUCCUGUUUACGCUCCCCUGCCAGGAGCUGGCUCAGAAAAGAGAGUCAGAAAUACAUUGUGUGUUAGGAGGGACCUCUAUGUUUCUGGAACAAGGCUCUUUCUAUUUGGUUGCUCAACACUGAGAACACUUUUCCUUUGGCAAAAAAGGCAAUGAGGAAAGGUCAACUUAUUCAUUAAUCUCUCUCUUGUCUACUCAGUGUCUCAAUCUAUGCCAUAUUUUCUUGUGCCCUACAUAGCAACCACUAAGGAGGGCAUAAACACUUCUUCUGAACUUGUAAUUAUGUGUAAUGUUAGCAUCACCAUUUUAAGCAGCAAAUUCUGGGCAGUUCAGUUGUCACCCAUGCUGUCACCCGAAUAAAAAUAUCCUGUUAUUUCAGUGCCCUUCCUUGACAAAGUACUAUAGAGCUGGAAACACCUCGGAUCACAAUGUUGCUGGAAAGGAGCCAAUUCAACAGAGUAAGAUGUGAGACUCAUAAAAUCUUGGAAGUGACCUCACUGAGACGCAGACAUGUGCACGUGAAGAUGCUGCCGGGCUCCCAGGAGCUAGUAAAAGCUCCCUCCUCUUAGCUUGGAUUACUGUCACUCCUUGUGCUUUCUCCUUCUGCUGAACGCACACAUCAUCAAGUUGGGGGAAAAGACUGCACUUAGGGUAUAUAAAUAGUCUCAAUUACUUAAAGGAAGAAGGUGGCACUUCGGAUUUCUGUUUACAAGUUUGUUAUUCGCCUUGUAUGUAAUUCACCUAUGUAUGGAAUGGGCUCAUUAAUGAGAAGAUCAAAAUCCAGGAGGAAGAUGUGAAAAACUAAGUCACAUACAAUUAUACUACUCAGUGAUAACCACUGUUAAUAUUUUGAUUCAUUUUCUGCUAAGCUUUCUUCAUAUAUGUUUGUUUAUACACACAUGUCUUUCUUAGUAACUUUUUCUUCUGUAGAACAAAAUCUCCUAUUAGAUCAGAGUAAAAUAUAGAGAAAUCAGUUUUUACUUUCUCUAGGAAAAAAAGUAUCUUCUGUUUAUUGUAUGUGCUGCUGAAGCGAGCACAGCAUUUUCUGUUUAUUAAAAAGGCAUUAAAUGAAUCCGAGGAACAGGUUUUCAAGAGAAACAUCUUAACCAAUGAGCUUUGGAUAUUUCCUAAGUUCUAUUUCAAAAGCAAUUUGUACUGUGUGUAUAAAAACAUACUAUUUUAAAUGAAAGAAUAAUUUUAUUAUAAAAGCAAGUGACUUUUUGUAUAGAUUCAGAAGACACCAAAUAAACUAAGAAACCAUGACUUUUAAGAAUUGCAGAAUUAAUGUACAGGUCUAUAAAUAAGUGAUCCUGGAGUCCAUAACUGGUCCACAUGCUUACAGAUCAACAAUUUAUUUGGUAUGAUAACAUGGGCCAUGCUAACAAUCUAGAAAAUACCAGAAUCUUUCUGGAUAUUUAACAACAGAUUUGCAUAUGACGACCGCUAACUACUGUGUAAUUCUGGGUUUUAAGUUGCUUUUAGAGUAUAUUCUGCCACAUUUACCUAGAUAAAUAUAAAGAGUGAACUGGACAUCAACUUGAACUUUCUUUAAAAUCAUGGAAGAAAGGGAGAAAACAGCAUAAGCAAAGUCAACUGACAAACUAGGAGGAAAAAAUUACAACUUAUAUCGUAGACAAGGGUAAUUGGCAUAUUUAGAGUUAAAAAUUCAAAGACCAACCCUCCCCACCCACCUCCCUGUAAAUGGGGAAAGGAUAUCCAGCCAGGCCUCCAAUAAAAGAAAGGCAAGUAACCCAUGAGUAUAUCAAAAGAUCCUCAAUGGUUUUGCUUAGUUGAAACUUAGGGAAAUCUAUUAGGUCUUGAGUUUCUGAAGAAGUACAUUUUAAAGGAGGGCUAGAAAUUAUCUGUUGGGAAUUGGCCUUGCUUAGAAUUAAAAUUCCCUAUCAUAAGAAAAAAAUGUAAAUUCCUCUUUUUCCCCCAGAAUGCAGUAGGUCAGUGAGUAUUGCGAUUAACCAGCAUCUGACGCCUGGGACAUUGAAUCUCAAGAAAUUCAUGAGAUUUUAUGCCUGUGACAUCAGUGAUACAUGGGAAAUACUGUUUAUACUAACUAUGGGUAAAAUACUGAAUUGUCUAACUUCAUUUGUAUUGUUGAGUAAUUCUGUUAACCUCUGGCCUUACAUUUUUCAUCUGGAAAGCAGGGCUGGACCAACUGGUCUCCAAAGGCAUUCUUAGUGCUAACAAUCUAAUUUUUUUUCUCGUUUCCUUUUUGUGUACACGUAAGCGUGAGGUGUGAGUUCAAGCCUAUGACAUUUAAAUAAAAUGUUCUGUCUCCAUCACUGUAAUGGCAAAGGAAUAAAAGAUUUUUUCUUUCUAAA